UACGUAGGGUGCGAGCGUUAAUCGGAAUUACUGGGCGUAAAGCGUGCGCAGGCGGUUUUUUAAGCCAGGUGUGAAAUCCCCGGGCUCAACCUGGGAAUGGCAUUUGGGACUGCAAGGCUGGAGUGCGGCAGAGGAGACUGGAAUUCCUGGUGUGGCAGUGAAAUGCGUAGAUAUCAGGAGGAACACCGAUGGCGAAGGCAGGUCUCUGGGCUGACACUGACGCUCAUGCACGAAAGCGUGGGGAGCAAACAGG
rnacentral:rRNA from 1 species